rnacentral:piRNA from 1 species
GGAAAAAAUGUAGAAGAUACU